CGCCCGCGCCCCCUCCGCUCCCCCCGGCCCCUCCACGCCGGGCCGGGCGGCGCGGCCUGAAGCGCCGGUGAUGGCGAGCCCGCCGAUGAACGGGCGCCCCGGGCCGGCGGGCGGCGACGGCCCCAACCUCAACCUCAACCACAAUAACAACAACAACAACAGCGGCGUGCGCAAGUGCGGCUACCUGCGCAAGCAGAAGCACGGCCACAAGCGCUUCUUCGUGCUGCGCGGACCCGGAGCGGGCGGCGACGAGGCGGCGGCGGCGGCGACAGCGGGCGGGGGGCCGGCGCCGCAGCCGCCGCGGCUCGAGUACUACGAGAGCGAGAAGAAGUGGCGGAGCAAAGCGGGCGCCCCGAAGCGGGUCAUCGCGCUCGACUGCUGCCUGAACAUCAACAAGCGCGCCGACGCCAAGCACAAGUACCUGAUCGCCCUCUACACCAAGGACGAGUACUUUGCGGUGGCGGCCGAGAACGAGCAGGAGCAGGAGGGCUGGUACCGCGCGCUCACCGAGCUGGUCAGCGAGGGCCGGGCGAGCGCCGGCGACGCGCCCCCCGCCGCCGCCGCCCCCGCCGCGUCCUGCAGCGCCUCCCUGCCCGGCGCCCUGGGCGGCUCGGCCGGCGCCGCCGCCGCCGAUGACAGCUACGGGCUGGUGGCGCCCGCCACGGCCGCCUACCGUGAGGUGUGGCAGGUGAACCUGAAGCCCAAGGGCCUGGGCCAGAGCAAGAACCUGACGGGCGUGUACCGCCUGUGCCUGUCGGCGCGCACUAUUGGCUUCGUGAAGCUCAAUUGCGAGCAGCCGUCGGUGACGCUGCAGCUCAUGAACAUCCGCCGCUGCGGCCACUCGGACAGCUUCUUCUUCAUCGAGGUGGGCCGCUCGGCCGUCACGGGCCCCGGUGAGCUGUGGAUGCAGGCAGACGACUCGGUGGUGGCGCAGAACAUCCACGAGACCAUCCUGGAGGCCAUGAAGGCGCUCAAGGAGCUCUUCGAGUUCCGGCCGCGCAGCAAGAGCCAGUCGUCCGGCUCGUCGGCCACGCACCCCAUCAGCGUCCCCGGCGCGCGUCGCCACCACCACCUGGUCAACCUGCCCCCCAGCCAGACGGGCCUGGUGCGCCGCUCGCGCACCGACAGCUUGGCCGCCACACCGCCGGCCGCCAAGUGCAGCUCGUGCCGGGUGCGCACGGCCAGCGAGGGCGAUGGCGGCGUGGCGGCAGGGGCCGGGGCGGCGGGCGGCAGGCCGGUGUCGGUGGCGGGGAGCCCCCUGAGCCCGGGGCCGGUGCGCGCGCCCCUGAGCCGCUCGCACACCCUGAGCGGCGGCUGCGGCGGCCGCGCGAGCAAGGUGACGCUGGCGCCGGCAGGGGGCGCCCUGCAGCACAGCCGCUCCAUGUCCAUGCCCGUGGCGCACUCGCCUCCGGCGGCCGCCACCAGCCCCGGCAGCCUGUCGUCCAGCAGCGGGCACGGCUCGGGCUCCUACCCGCCGCCCCCGGGCCCGCACCCGCACCUGCAGCACCCUCUGCACCCCCAGCGACCCUCCAGCGGCAGCGCCUCGGCCUCGGGCUCCCCCAGCGACCCUGGUUUCAUGUCCCUGGACGAGUACGGCUCGAGCCCCGGGGACCUGAGAGCCUUCUGCAGUCUCAGGAGCAACACGCCCGAGUCCAUCGCCGAGACGCCCCCGGCCAGGGACGGCAGCGGGGGCGAGCUGUACGGGUACAUGACCAUGGACCGGCCCCUGAGCCACUGCGGCCGACCCUACCGCAGAGUCUCCGGGGACGGGGCCCAGGACUUGGACAGGGGGCUGAGAAAGAGGACCUACUCCCUGACCACGCCUGCCCGGCAGCGGCCAGUGCCCCAGCCCUCCUCCGCGUCCCUGGAUGAAUACACCCUCAUGCGGGCCACCUUCUCCGGCAGCUCUGGCCGCCUCUGUCCGUCGUGCCCCGCGUCCUCCCCUAAAGUGGCCUACCACCCCUACCCCGAGGACUACGGCGACAUCGAGAUCGGGUCGCACAGGAGCUCCAGCAGUAACCUGGGCACGGACGACGGCUACAUGCCCAUGACCCCCGGCGUGGCCCUCGUGGGCGGCGGGAGCUGCAAGAGCGACGACUACAUGCCCAUGAGCCCCACCAGCGUGUCCGCCCCCAAGCAGAUCUUGCAGCCGCGCGCCGCCGUCGCGGCCUUGCCCCCCGCGGGGGCCGCGGGGCCCACGCCCGCCUCUGCCGCCAGCAGGGCCUUCCCGGGGAGCGGGGGCGGCUACAAGACCAGCUCCCCGGCCGAGAGCUCCCCCGAGGACAGCGGGUACAUGCGCAUGUGGUGCGGCGGCUCCAAGCUGUCCGUGGAGAGCGCCGCCGACGGCAGGCUGCUUCCCAACGGGGACUACCUCAACAUGUCCCCCGGCGACGCGGGCGCCUCGGGCACCCCGCCCGACUUCUUCUCGGCCGCCCUGCACGGCGGCGGCGGCGGCGGCGGCGGCGGGGAGAUGCCCCGGGGCGUCCCCGGCUACUGCUACAGCUCCCUGCCGCGCUCCUACAAGGCCCCCUACACCUGCGGCGGGGACAACGAGCAGUACGUGCUCAUGAGCUCCCCCGUGGGGCGCAUCCUGGAGGAGGAGCGGCUGGAGUCGACGGCCGGCCCGGCGUCCACGCAGCCAGCCGACGCCUUCGCGGCCGGGGCAGGGGGCGGCGGCGGCCACCCGCAGCCACCCCACCCGGCGGCGCCUUCGCCCGGGAGGCCCGGGGGCAGCGGCAGCGGCCGCCUGGAGGGCUUCCUGGGCCAGCGCUGCCGGGCCGCGCGGCCCACGCGCCUGUCCCUGGAGGGGCUGCAGACCCUGCCCCGCAUGCACGAGUACCCCCUGCCGCCCGAGCCCAAGAGCCCGGGCGAGUACAUCAACAUCGACUUCGGCGAGGCGGGCGCGCGCCUGUCGCCGCCCGCGCCCCCGCUGCUGGCCUCGGCCGCCUCGUCGUCGUCGCUGCUGUCCGCCGGCAGCCCGGCCUCGUCGCUGGGCUCGGGCACCCCGGGCACGAGCGGCGAUAGCCGGCAGCGCUCCCCGCUCUCCGACUACAUGAACCUCGACUUCAGCUCGCCCAAGUCACCCCAGCCGGGCGGCCAGGCCGGGGACCCCGUGGGCUCCCUGGACGCCCUCCUGUCCCCCGAGGCCUCCGCGUACCCGCCGCUGCCCCCGCGCCCCGCAGCCCCCGCCUCGGCCCUGCAGCCGCCGCCGCCGCCCCCGCCCGGAGAGCUUUACCGCCUGCCUCCGGCGCCGCCCUCCCAGGGCCCUGGCGCGGCCUCCUCUCCGUCCUCGGGGGCGGGCGAGAGCGGCGACUACACCGAGAUGGCCUUCGGCGUGGCUGCCACGCCGCCGCAACCGAUCGCCGCGCCCCCGAAGCCCGACGGGGCCCGCGUGAGCAGCCCCGUGUCCGGCCUGAAGAGGCUGAGCCUCAUGGACCAGGUGUCGGGGGUCGAGGCCUUCCUGCAGGCCAGCCAGCCCCCGGACCCGCACCGCGGGGCCAAGGUCAUCCGCGCGGACCCGCAAGGGGGCCGCCGGCGCCACAGCUCGGAGACCUUCUCCUCGACCACCACUGUGACCCCCGUGUCCCCGUCCUUCGCCCACAACCCCAAGCGCCACAACUCGGCCUCGGUGGAGAACGUGUCUCUCAGGAAAAGCGGCGAAGGGGGCGGCGGCAGCGUCCUGGGUGGCGGCGACGAGCCCCCCACGUCCCCCCGCCAGUUGCCGCCGCCGCUUCCCCCGCAGGCGCGGCCCUGGACGCCGAGCCAACCCGGGGGCUUGGUGGGCUGCCCCGGGGGCAGUGGCUCGCCGAUGCGCCGGGAGACGUCUGCCGGCUUCCAGAACGGCCUCAACUACAUCGCCAUCGACGUGAGGGACGAGCCGGGGCUGUCGCCGUCCCCGCAGCAGCAUCCUCAGACGGGAGACAAGAGCGCCUGGGGCCGGACCCGGAGCCUCGGCGGUCUCAUCGGCGCGGUAGGGGCCGGCAGCGCCGGCGGGGUGUGUGUGGGGCCCGGCCCUGGCGCCCUGCCCUCCGCCAGCACCUACGCCAGCCUCGACUUCUUGACGCAUCACCUGAAAGAGGCCACGGUCGUGAAAGCUGAGAACACGCGGUGACACGUGGCGUGGUUUUCAUCCUCUCCGCAGCCCUGUGAGGAAGGCAGUGGUUUCUCCCCCUCUGUCCACACGAAGAACUGAGACCUGGGCAUUUAAGGGGCCGUCGCCAGGCCGCUCAGCCUCUCUCCCAAGGGUAGAAUCGUGAAUGGUUUUCUUGCAUUGAAAAUGUGAACCUCACUUUAUGGAUCUCGCAACUCACUGUAAACCCAGUCGCCCUGCUUCGGGGGAAACCGAAGGGGAGUUUACCCGUUGAACUUGUCUCUGGAGAACGGAAUGAGUAAAAGUUUGCUUCCCAAAGUGGAUCAUUUCCUGAAAGUGACACAGAUGGUAAAGAGUGAAGAUCCGUCUGGCUUUAUCCCCUUGACGACACACAUCAGAGAAAAAACGUGAAAAGAAGAUGCUCGCAGUUUCCUUUUGAAUCUGAGCGAUGACCACGUGUGGACGCAUCUGGAUUAGACGUGGAACCAUCUCUGUCCCUCAUUCCCACAGGGGGCAUUCAUCCUUUGUGCUGGUCGUGUUGUGCUUUGUUUUUCGACAAAAUUAGCGGAAGGAGUGAUUCACAAGAAAAUUGGACGUUUUCAUCGGCCUUUUCCGUUGUGGCCAGUGUCUUAAUUUCUCCUUAACUUUCAUUUUGGCAAAGCAGAUCUAUCCCUCAGCAUGCUAGGAGAUUCUACCAAUUCGCAUUAAAGUGGUAAAAUCUGGUAAAUACUGGCAUCCUCUCAAAACUACCACGGUCCUACCUCAGUUCCAGGUGAAGCCAGAUCGGCGUGGUCGGGGGCCGGCGGGACCUCUGGGUACCUCUGCUGUGAGGCCCCAGUGCGGCCAUCUGCCUUAUCAAACAGGCCCGGUACACAGCUGCUUGUCAGACUCCAACCCAGGUACCUGCGUGUUUACUCACAGACAGAGCCCAGUGUGGGACUGACGUUUCCCAAGGGAGAUGAAAUUUGAGAUUGGACUUUGAAGAUGGAUGGAUAAACAACAAUUAUUAUAUGUAACUGAAGCAACCUACUUUGGAAAACCAUCAACUGUAUUGGGGGAUGGGGGGUGGGAGGGGCAGGGUCUGGAAAGGGGGUAUCUCUUUUUACCUUUAACAGACUUGUUUAAUCUUCUCUCUGUAGAUGUUUAUGUAGGUACUUCAAAUUGCAAACGCCUUUGAUCCUAUUUACAAGCUCAGACGUCUCUGCUAUCCUUAAUCUUGAGCUUGCAUUUCUCUAACCAAAAAUUCACAUAGGCAUGCUGGCGGUUCAAGACUGGUCAAGGGUUUGGCAGAUUUCUUUUUAAAUGUAUUAUCUUUACUAUGAUGCUAUUGUGUCUGGCAACGAGGCUGACCUGAACAGCAACAUACACACACACACACACACACACACAUACACAAAAAAAAAGGGAAAGGAACUGAUAAAAGAGGCAU